rnacentral:rRNA from 1 species
UACGUAGGGUGCGAGCGUUGCCCGGAAUUACUGGGCGUAAAGAGCUCGUAGGUGGUUUGUCACGUCGUCUGUGAAAUUCCGGGGCUUAACCUCGGGCGUGCAGGCGAUACGGGCAAUACUUGAGUGCUGUAGGGGAGACUGGAAUUCCUGGUGUAGCGGUGAAAUGCGCAGAUAUCAGGAGGAACACCAAUGGCGAAGGCAGGUCUCUGGGCAGUUACUGACGCUGAGGAGCGAAAGCAUGGGUAGCGAACAGGAUUAGA